rnacentral:rRNA from 1 species
CCUACGGGAGGCAGCAGUGGGGAAUAUUGGGCAAUGGGCGCAAGCCUGACCCAGCAACGCCGCGUGAAGGAAGAAGGCUUUCGGGUUGUAAACUUCUUUUCUUAGGGACGAAGAAGACGGUACCUAAGGAAUAAGCCACGGCUAACUACGUGCCAGCAGCCGCGGUAAUACGUAGGAUGCAAGCGUUAUCCGGAUUUACUGGGUGUAAAGGGAGCGCAGGCGGGACUGCAAGUUGGAUGUGAAAUACCGUGGCUUAACCACGGAACUGCAUCCAAAACUGUAGUUCUUGAGUGAAGUAGAGGCAAGCGGAAUUCCGAGUGUAGCGGUGAAAUGCGUAGAUAUUCGGAGGAACACCAGUGGCGAAGGCGGCUUGCUGGGCUUUAACUGACGCUGAGGCUCGAAAGUGUGGGGAGCAAACAGGAUUAGAUACCCUAGUAGUC